GCAUAUCAAUAAGCGGAGGAAAAGAAACCAACCGGGAUUGCCUCAGUAACGGCGAGUGAAGCGGCAAGAGCUCAAAUUUGAAAGCUGGCUCCUUCGGAGUCCGCAUUGUAAUUUGCAGAGGAUGCUUUGGGUGCGGCCCCCGUCUAAGUGCCCUGGAACGGGCCGUCAGAGAGGGUGAGAAUCCCGUCUUGGGCGGGGUGUCCGUGCCCGUGUAAAGCUCCUUCGACGAGUCGAGUUGUUUGGGAAUGCAGCUCUAAAUGGGUGGUAAAUUUCAUCUAAAGCUAAAUACUGGCCGGAGACCGAUAGCGCACAAGUAGAGUGAUCGAAAGAUGAAAAGCACUUUGAAAAGAGAGUUAAACAGCACGUGAAAUUGUUGAAAGGGAAGCGCUUGCGACCAGACUCGCCCGCGGGGUUCAGCCGGCAUUCGUGCCGGUGUACUUCCCCGUGGGCGGGCCAGCGUCGGUUUGGGCGGCCGGUCAAAGGCCCCUGGAAUGUAGUGCCCUCCGGGGCACCUUAUAGCCAGGGGUGCAAUGCGGCCAGCCUGGACCGAGGAACGCG
rnacentral:rRNA from 1 species